GACGAACGCUGGCGGCGUGCUUACACAUGCAAGUCGAACGGUAAGGCUCCAGCUUGCUGGGGUACACGAGUGGCGAACGGGUGAGUAACACGUGGGUGACCUGCCCUGCACUUCGGGAUAAGCCUGGGAAACUGGGUCUAAUACCGGAUAGGACCGCACCGUGAGGGUGUGGUGGAAAGUUUUUUCGGUGUGGGAUGGGCCCGCGGCCUAUCAGCUUGUUGGUGGGGUAAUGGCCUACCAAGGCGGCGACGGGUAGCCGGCCUGAGAGGGUGGACGGCCACAUUGGGACUGAGACACGGCCCAGACUCCUACGGGAGGCAGCAGUGGGGAAUAUUGCACAAUGGGCGGAAGCCUGAUGCAGCGACGCCGCGUGGGGGAUGACGGCCUUCGGGUUGUAAACUCCUUUCACCAUCGACGAAGGGUUUCUGACGGUAGAUGGAGAAGAAGCACCGGCUAACUACGUGCCAGCAGCCGCGGUAAUACGUAGGGUGCGAGCGUUGUCCGGAAUUACUGGGCGUAAAGAGCUCGUAGGUGGUUUGUCGCGUCGUCUGUGAAAUUCCGGGGCUUAACUCCGGGCGUGCAGGCGAUACGGGCAUAACUUGAGUACUGUAGGGGAGACUGGAAUUCCUGGUGUAGCGGUGAACUGCGCAGAUAUCAGGAGGAACACCGGUGGCGAAGGCGGGUCUCUGGGCAGUAACUGACGCUGAGGAGCGAAAGCAUGGGGAGCGAACAGGAUUAGAUACCCUGGUAGUCCAUGCCGUAAACGGUGGGCGCUAGGUGUGGGUUUCCUUCCACGGGAUCCGUGCCGUAGCUAACGCAUUAAGCGCCCCGCCUGGGGAGUACGGCCGCAAGGCUAAAACUCAAAGGAAUUGACGGGGGCCCGCACAAGCGGCGGAGCAUGUGGAUUAAUUCGAUGCAACGCGAAGAACCUUACCUGGGCUUGACAUAUACAGGAUCGCGCCAGAGAUGGUGUUUCCCUUGUGGCUUGUAUACAGGUGGUGCAUGGUUGUCGUCAGCUCGUGUCGUGAGAUGUUGGGUUAAGUCCCGCAACGAGCGCAACCCUUGUCUUAUGUUGCCAGCACGUUGUGGUGGGGACUCGUAAGAAACUGCCGGGGUUAACUCGGAGGAAGGUGGGGAUGACGUCAAACCAUCAUGCCCCUUAUGUCCAGGGCUUCACACAUGCUACAAUGGUCGGUACAGUGGGUUGCCAGUCCGUGAGGGCGAGCUAAUCCCGCAAAGCCGGUCUCAGUUCGGAUCGGGGUCUGCAACUCGACCCCGUGAAGUCGGAGUCGCUAGUAAUCGCAGAUCAGCAACGCUGCGGUGAAUACGUUCCCGGGCCU
rnacentral:rRNA from 1 species